ACCUGGCUGGCUCAGUUGGGAGAGCAUGUGACUCUUGAUCUUGGGAUUGUGAGUUCGAACCCCACGUUGGGUG
rnacentral:tRNA from 1 species